rnacentral:rRNA from 1 species
UACGUAGGGUGCAAGCGUUGUCCGGAAUUAUUGGGCGUAAAGAGCUCGUAGGCGGUUUGUCGCGUCUGCUGUGAAAACGCGAGGCUCAACCUCGCGCCUGCAGUGGGUACGGGCAGACUAGAGUGCGGUAGGGGAGACUGGAAUUCCUGGUGUAGCGGUGGAAUGCGCAGAUAUCAGGAGGAACACCGAUGGCGAAGGCAGAUCUCUGGGCCGUAACUGACGCUGAGGAGCGAAAGCAUGGGGAGCGAACAGG